CUUGGAAAGGAUCUAGCACUGCUACUCGGGGAGAACCAGAUACGAAUCCUUCCGCGUACACUUGCGGGCAAAGAAGCAAACAGGUCAACCUAGAACUGUUGUGAUUUUAUGCGAGCUCAGCAAAAGAAUGAAACGGAGAAAGAAUAUAGUUCUCAGAGUUCCGGGAAACAAACAAGUGUACUACUCUCGUUUUCGUUGUGUCUAGCAAUUGCCUAUGGUUGGUUAAUUAUUGUUCUUCCCUUGCCUCCUUUAGAAAAUCGAAAGCACAACUAGAAAUUUGUUAUAAAAAGGCAGUGUCUUUUGUUGAACCAACAAGACAAUCUAGGCUACGAGUUAACAUGAAAAUCCUUCUUUUUGUAAGCCUUCUCCCUCCCCUCUUCUUCAUUCCUUCUCUCUUUUCUCCUUGGUUUUUGAAUGUGAGCACGGUAACGCGGGGUGGGGGGAUCUAUAUAUAGGUGUUUGCCUUACCAUUGCAGCAUCACUCUGGCUGAGCCCAAAUCAGCAAAAAUUUAAUUCUGACGAUUUUGGUUUGGUUAUUAGAAAGUUGAAGAGAUUUUAUAUCUGCUAAAUAAAGUUUUAUCUGUUGAGACAGUAUAUGACACGUGGCAUAUAAUGUACAAACUGCAAAGACAAUGCUUUCUCCUGUUCGUCAUUGAUCAACAAGCAGGAGGGGGGGGGGGGGAGAGAGAGAGAGAGUGGAGGAGGAUGGUUAUUUAUUUUGGUUUUAUGUAUUAAGAAAUCCUGGUUAAAACUUUAUAGAGAGUAGUCCAAACAAAUUAGCCCUUGGUUUAAUCACAUUCAGCAGAUGUUCUUUGAGAAGAUGUUUAAGUUGAUAUUAAGGAUUGUCUUUCAUUUUGUAGUUUACACAGAUUUCAUGUUUAUGUACAAGAUAGAGAGUGUGGAUUGAUAACUUCCUAGUUCUCACACUCAUCUUACUCUCACUCGCUUUGUUGGUAUUAUUCUUUAAUAAAAUCGAAAACAAAUUGUAUUUAUCAGUGGUAUUGCUAGGAUGUUUUGGAAAUGUGGUUGAAUGGGAUGAUAUAAAUGCUGCCUGGGGCCAAGCUUGUCUUCUCCUCCAUACAAUGUGUCAAUUUUCAAGCCAAAAUCAGUACCCUUUAUCCAUGAGGCAUUUACAUGUUCGUCUUCUAUAAUUUGUUGCAGUAAUUUCUUAUCUGCCUUUUGAUAUCAAGCAUAAAUUUCCUUUUUUAAGAAAAAAGAAACUUGAUAUCUUGCUCUUAUAUUUAGUUUUUCCCACUCUUGUUGAAGUCCUUCUUUUUCUUCACAUGCGCUUCUGUACGAGGAAAGGAUUAGCUUUUUGGUUUUUAAAGCAAAGGGGAUUGUUUGUAGCUUUGAGUCAGUCAAGGUCUUUCUUUCAAUUAGUCAGUAAUAUUAUCUGAUUGAUGCUUCCUUAAUCUUUCGACAUUUCAGAUAUAGAAUAACAUGCUUCCUAUGGGGAGCUACCCAUGGAUUAGGGAUGCCACUGACAGUGUCUAUGAUCUGAGCACAUGGAUGCGUGGAAUGGAGGUUUUGGUGCAUUUGACUUGCUCAAAGCAUUUGGGUUUCUGGGACCAAAACCUGUUUCUUUAAUAUUUUUGUGGGAAAAGUCAGAUUGGAAGUGCAUGAUCAAGCAUCUGCCCUAUGGUUUACAUCUCAGUUUUUAUUUUUUUAAACUGCCUAUUAGGAUUUUGUUAACAUGCUACACAAAUAUAUUUCUCAGGUUUUGUCCAGUGAACUUAUUUUGGAGUACUCAGCUAUGACAAAGCAAUGACAUUGCUCUUAACAUGCUUCAAGGACUUUGCUGAGUUUGCAUACAUGAUGGAUCAUGAAACAACAUUCCACCUGAGAAACGAUUCAAAUUUCACACAUGUCUCUAGCGAUGAUGAGCAGAAAAAUCAGGCUCAGCUGGCUUCUGUGGCACCAGUGCUAAUAUUUGUGGCAGUCUAGAGGUGCGUCCCCCAUUUUGCCUGAGAUUUCUUAAUACAUUGGCAGCAAAUUGUGAA